GACGUCAAGUCAUCAUGGCCCUUACGACCAGGGCUACACACGUGCUACAAUGGCGCAUACAAAGAGAAGCGACCUCGCGAGAGCAAGCGGACCUCAUAAAGUGCGUCGUAGUCCGGAUUGGAGUCUGCAACUCGACUCCAUGAAGUCGGAAUCGCUAGUAAUCGUGGAUCAGAAUGCCACGGUGAAUACGUUCCCGGGCCUUGUACACACCGCCCGUCACACCAUGGGAGUGGGUUGCAAAAGAAGUAGGUAGCUUAACCUUCGGGAGGGCGCUUACCACUUUGUGAUUCAUGACUGGGGUGAAGUCGUAACAAGGUAACCGUAGGGGAACCUGCGGUUGGAUCACCUCCUU
rnacentral:rRNA from 1 species